rnacentral:rRNA from 1 species
GGAAUCUUGCACAAUGGGCGAAAGCCUGAUGCAGCGACGCCGCGUGGGGGAUGAAGGCCUUAGGGUCGUAAACCCCUUUCAGCAGGGACGAAAAUGACGGUACCUGCAGAAGAAGCCCCGGCCAACUACGUGCCAGCAGCCGCGGUAAGACGUAGGGGCGAGCGUUGUCCGGAUUUAUUGGGCGUAAAGAGCUCGUAGGCGGUUGCGUAAGUCGGAUGUGAAAACUCAGGGCUCAACCCUGAGACGCCAUCCGAUACUGCGCUGACUUGAAUCCAGUAGGGGAGUGUGGAAUUCCUGGUGUAGCGGUGAAAUGCGCAGAUAUCAGGAGGAACACCCAUGGCGAAGGCAGCACUCUGGGCUGGUAUUGACACUCAAGUGCGAAAGCGUGGGGAGCAAACAGGAUUAGAUACCCGAGUAGUCCCUGAGCGGGCUGGCAAGGCGCAU